UUGGUGAUGAACAGCAGUAUGGAAGUAGCUUCUUCCUGGCCAAGGUACAAAGGAAGGGAAAGCCAUCAUGACCUGGUGUCUUCAGGACGUGAGUGUACAGCUAUGCGGUCCCAGGACCUCAGGCUCAGAGAAGAGAGGCUUUCCCCAGGGAAUCGCUGCACCCACCGUGUGAUGCUGCCAGCACCCAGCAGUCUGGACAGGCAAAACAGAGCAGUCUGGACAGGCAGGAAGAGUAUUUUACAGCGGCCAAUCAAGUUUUCUUUUAAAAAAUACCAUUGGGUCUGAAAUGAAUGAUUUUACCCCAAUCUUGACUGCAGCCUCUGUACCCCAUCUUCUCCUCUUCUCUU